GACGAACGCUGGCGGCGUGCUUAACACAUGCAAGUCGAACGGAAAGGCCCUUCGGGGUCCUCGAGUGGCGAACGGGAGAGUAACACGUGGGUGAUCUGCCCUGCACUUUGGGAUAAGCCUGGGAAACUGGGUCUAAUACCGAAUAGGACCACGCGCUUCAUGGUGUGUGGUGGAAAGCUUUUGCGGUGUGGGAUGGGCCCGCGGCCUAUCAGCUUGUUGGUGGGGUAAUGGCCUACCAAGGCGACGACGGGUAGCCGGCCUGAGAGGGUGACCGGCCACACUGGGACUGAGAUACGGCCCAGACUCCUACGGGAGGCAGCAGUGGGGAAUAUUGCACAAUGGGCGCAAGCCUGAUGCAGCGACGCCGCGUGAGGGAUGACGGCCUUCGGGUUGUAAACCUCUUUCAAUAGGGACGAAGCGCAAGUGACGGUACCUAUAGAAGAAGCACCGGCCAACUACGUG
rnacentral:rRNA from 1 species